ACAACUUUCAACAACGGAUCUCUUGGCUCUCGCAUCGAUGAAGAACACAGCGAAAUGUGAUAAGUAAUGUGAAUUGCAGAAUCCAGUGAAUCAUYGAAUCUUUGAACGCAUCUUGCGCUCCUUGGUAUUYUGAGGAGCAUGCCUGUUUGAGUGUCGUUAAA
rnacentral:rRNA from 1 species